CCUACGGGUGGCUGCAGUGAGGAAUAUUGGUCAAUGGGCGCGAGUCUGAACCAGCCAAGUAGCGUGAAGGAUGACUGCCCUACGGGUUGUAAACUUCUUUUAUAUAGGAAUAAAGCGUUCCACGUGUGCGCUUUUGUAUGUACCUUAUGAAUAAGGAUCGGCUAACUCCGUGCCAGCAGCCGCGGUAAUACGGGGGAUCCGAGCGUUAUCCGGAUUUAUUGGGUUUAAAGGGUGCGUAGAGGGAUUUUUAAGUCCGUGGUAAAAUUUGCGGCUUCAACCUUGGCCGGCAGUUGAAACUGGGGGUCUUGAGUGGGGGUGAGGUAGGCGGAAUGCGUGGUGUAGCGGUGAAAUGCAUAGAUAUCACGAAGAACUCCGAUUGCGAAGGCAGCUUACUGAAGUGCGACUGACGUUGAUGCACGAAAGUGUGGGGAUCGAACAGGAUUAGAUACCCGGGUAGUC
rnacentral:rRNA from 1 species